rnacentral:sRNA from 13 species
GCCGGGCGUGGUGGCUCACGCCUGUAAUCCUAGCACUUUGGGAGGCCGAGGUGGGUGGAUCACUUGAGGUCAGGAGUUCAAGACCGGCCUGGCCAUCAUGGUGAAACCCCAUCUUUU